GCAAUGUGAUUGAUAGUGAGUGUCACGGAGGACUUUCCAUCUGUCCCUCUGUCAUCCUCAGUAUUGAUUCCACCCCUGGGCUGAGGGCAAGUGGUGGCAGCAGGCACAGCGUCCCCUCCAGACACAGCUGUGUCAUUGGCAUGGCUUCUGAGAUGUGGUGGAAGGACAGGACUAAGACACAAGAGCUAUUCAGGAUCCCACAGCAUCCGGAUGUCUUCGGACUUAUGGCCAGUGAAGAACAUGAAGAGAAGGGCAGAGCUGAGUCAGAGUCAGCAUGUCAGCUGGAGGAAGUCAUCUGACAUUUUAUGAUGUGUAUUCACAUCUGAAGGGAACAAUGGGAGUGAGUGCAGCAACCACGAAAACAUGCCCCAUGGAAACUGGCUGGUCAGAAGACGGUAUUUACCAAGUCUCUUCCCAAAAUACUUGCAAAUGCACAUAAUCUCAAAGUGUUUUUGAGGGCUCUUCCGAUCUAAAAUUGGUCCUAGUGACAAGGGGUGUUUGGGGAAAUCAAAGGGCUGGCUUAACUAUGUAGACCUAGGUCUGGUCUUAUUUCUGGCCCAUACGAUCAUCAUGACCUUGGACAAAUGAAACUUCCUGGGCCUCAAGUUCCUUGUAUCAGAAAGGAUGGCAUUCAGCUGCGUACAACAGAAAACCAAAUCACAGUGGCUUAUCCAAGAAAAGUUCAAUUUUUCUCAAAACUACAGCGUCCUGGGCUGAUGCGGCAGCCCCAGGACGACCUCAGCAUCUCACUCCUCCUUUCUUUACUCGGCCCCAUCCUCAGGCUGUGACUUUCAUCCUCAGGUUUGUCAUCUUUUGGUGGUAAGAUGGUUGCUCUACCUCAAGCUCACAAAAAGAAAUGGGGGAAAGCAGGAAAGAAGAAAAUCUGCUUCCCCAGAGACUCUGAGGCUGCAACCGUACAUGAAAGGAAAGUUCUGUCAAUAAAGAAGAGCGAAAUCUACAUUUGGUCAGGAAACAGCAUUGCCUGCAAUAUGCCUCAUAUGAAAUAAAGCCUUUCUUGCCCCCAUUCUGCUACUCGGUCAUUCUUGCACUCAACAAAUAGAUGUUGAGUGCCCACUCUCUCCAGGCCAUGUUCUAGGUGCUGCGGAUGCAAUCCUGAAUCUAUGAACACGAUUGGCAGAACAAUAAAUAUUGAUUGUCUUGGCCACUCACCAAAUAAAGUGCUCCUGGGAAGGCUGAGAUCUAAUGCAAAGCAGCAGCUUGACUUUCUCACUCCCUGGCAACAAUGCCAAGCAAGAGAAAGCGAUGGGUAAGGCCUGGCUCAAGAGUCUCACUGCAACCUGCACUGUAGAUUCUACCUGCUAAUUUCCUCAGCCUUCUCUGGUUUUGGGCUUCAGAAUGCCCUAACUCUGGGCCCGGCGCGGUGGCUCACGCCUGUAAACCCAUCACUUUGGGAGGCCAAGGCGGGUGGAUCACAAGAUCAAGACCAUCCUGGCCAACAUGGUGAAACCCUGUCUCUACUGAAAAUACAAAAAUUAGCUGGGCAUGGUGGCUUGUGCUUGUAAUCCAGCUACUUGGAAGGCUGAGGCUGGAGGAUCGCUUGAACCCAGAAGGCAGAGGUUGCAGUGAGCUGAGAUCACACCACUGCACUCCAGCCUGGCAACAGAGUGAGACUCUGUCUCAAAAAAAAAAAAAAAAAAAAAAAGAAUGCCCUAAGUCUACUCUGGACCAUGAGCAAGGAUAAUCUGUCUUAGAGGAGAGAAGGUGAGGUUAUGAUUCCAGAGCAUUUGGUGACCCAGGAAGUAGACCUGCCUCCUCCUAUCUGUCCACAGAGCAGUCCUAGGGGCAAUAGGCCAUGAGAAGAUCAUGCCAGGCAGUCCAUUUCUAUAUUACCAUGUAAACAAAAACUCAGCUGUGAACCCUGGAACGUUCGUAUUCUGCAGCUGCCAGUGUAAACUGGUACAGGCCUCUUGAAGAACAGUGGGGAAAGGCACUCUGAAAGCAUCCACGCCUCCAUACCUGCUGAUCCAGGGCUCUGAUUUUCCUUCUGGGAACCAAGCCUAGGAGAAUGAUUCAAGCUGCAGAAAACCUUUCUCCACUAAGAUGUUUGCUGUGGCAUUCAGUAUAAUAGCACACCAGAGAAACAAUCUAAAGAUUCAUCAGUAGGAGAAUAUCUAAGUAAAUUAUGGUACAUACACUCAAUAAAAUGUUAUAUGACUACU
rnacentral:lncRNA from 1 species